UGGACCGGUGAUGACUGUUGGUGGAGUGCGAGUCACAGACGAUGACUACUUUGUGUCUGAAACUCUGAGGUCCAG
rnacentral:snoRNA from 1 species